GAUGAACGCUGGCGGCGUGCCUAAUACAUGCAAGUCGAGCGAACGGACGAGAAGCUUGCUUCUCUGAUGUUAGCGGCGGACGGGUGAGUAACACGUGGAUAACCUACCUAUAAGACUGGGAUAACUUCGGGAAACCGGAGCUAAUACCGGAUAAUAUUUUGAACCGCAUGGUUCAAAAGUGAAAGACGGUCUUGCUGUCACUUAUAGAUGGAUCCGCGCUGCAUUAGCUAGUUGGUAAGGUAACGGCUUACCAAGGCAACGAUGCAUAGCUGACCUGAGAGGGUGAUCGGCCACACUGGAACUGAGACACGGUCCAGACUCCUACGGGAGGCAGCAGUAGGGAAUCUUCCGCAAUGGGCGAAAGCCUGACGGAGCAACGCCGCGUGAGUGAUGAAGGUCUUCGGAUCGUAAAACUCUGUUAUUAGGGAAGAACAUAUGUGUAAGUAACUGUGCACACCUUGACGGUACCUAAUCAGAAAGCCACGGCUAACUACGUG
rnacentral:rRNA from 1 species